UACGUAGGGUGCGAGCGUUAAUCGGAAUUACUGGGCGUAAAGCGCACGUAGGCGGAUUGUUUAGUCAGGGGUGAAAUCCCGGAGCUCAACUUCGGAACUGCCUUUGAUACUGGCAAUCUCGAGUCCGAUAGAGGUGGGUGGAAUUCCUAGUGUAGAGGUGAAAUUCGUAGAUAUUCGCAAGAACACCAGUGGCGAAGGCGGCUCACUGGCCCGGUACUGACGCUGAGGCACGAAGGCCAGGGGAGCAAACGGG
rnacentral:rRNA from 1 species